CACACGAUAAGCACUGGGAUGAAAUGCCCUCUUGCCGAGUGACGAAGCAGUGGCAGCAGCUGCGGCCCUCUCUUCAGUGAGUGUGUAACUCGUGUUGGUGACAGACAUGAUAGAGACAGUGAGAGCGGCUGCCUUUGAAGCCAUCAUUGCAACCUGCAACCCGGGAAGACAGGAUCCUGACUGAUGUGGUGGGAAGAAUUCUAGGUCUUAGUCUGUAAACAGCAACUUCAUGUGGGCUUACGGCAUCUUCAGACUGGACCCAGAGUACGACAGGAGUGGUGCACCUUCAAGGAGCCAGAUGCUGGCAGAAGCCAGUGAACUAAGGUUGAUUUCCUAUGUUUUCUAAGAAUUUGGGGUAUACCUCUCCCCUGGAGAUCCUUCUGCUGAAGCCCCUAGCUUCAGCCUCUUAGGAUAACAUGACCUCAGCACCCUAGGGAAGGAAAGUCAAAAAGGCAGAGAAAUGAGUGACUCGCUCCAGAAGAGUCCCUUGGAUACCUGGGACUUCUAAGCAAAUCAACACUGAAGUUCUCACCCAGACUAACGGAAUUAGGAUUUCUGGAGCUGAAGUGUGGGCAUGGCAUUGUUUAGAGUUUCAAGAUGAUUUGAAUGUUCUACUGGGGCUGAAAACCACAGAUCUAGAUAAUCUGGCAUCUCAUUUCCAAUUAGGAAAACAGAAAAUACUAAGCAGCUAUAGUUGAUCUAUAUCUACACGGAUGGAAUUAAUUGAAAAUUGAUAUUCAGUCAAAAAUUAUUGAUCAAGCAUUGCCCAUGCAUCAAGUCUUUCCAGAAGCCAGCCCUGACCCUGACCCUGGUACAUCUAAGGUUGCCACUGGAGAGGAACGAAAGGAAACGUCCUUGCGGCACUGCGGCCAUGGGCGUGGGCGUAGGCGAUGAAGACGUGCGUAAAUGGUGCUGAAAGGCCAAACGCACAGAACUGAGGUGGGGAGAUUGUACAUCAUGAAUUGCACGGUUACACGCACACACAGUGAAGGAACUCUGUGGAAACCAGAUCGAAACCUGGAAGACUCGGGUCUCCCUAUUUGAACUAGGGUUUUGAAGCUUUUAGCCUCAAAAGAUAGUGUUGUCUCAUAGUCUUGACAAUUAGGGAAAAUACAGUUAGAAAAGAAUCAUGUGAUCCUUAGUAAUAUUUUUAGGUUGUUUCUUUGUUUUCGCCAGUGUUUGAAAUUUUCCUUUAUAAUUAAUGUGGGUUUUCCUGUGAGGAAAGUAUGUUUACUUAUUUAUUUUACUAAUUUACCUCCUACUGGAAACAGAAACCCACGCAUUUCCCGCAUAUUUUCAAGCAAAAUAGCAUGACAUAUUUCUCUGGAGCAGCAUGAGUAAAAGCAUGUGACUAUAAAGAAAUAAAAUUCAUUCUAAUUCAAAAAAACAUUAAAGUAGGUGUCCUACUAUGUGCAAAGUAUUGGACUAGGAAUAAAAUGUAAAACAUACAAUAUAUCCAUUCUCCCAACAAAGGUUUAUUGGAC
rnacentral:lncRNA from 1 species